AAAACUGCCAGGAUUUCAUUUUAAUCAGGCUUUUUUAAUUGGAUAUUCAUUAUAGAUUUGAUUUACUGAGUUUGGGUUGCAAUGUAGAGUGCAAGCAUUAUUUAUGGUUAUGAAUAACAUAAAUUUGAGUAGGGUAUUAUAAAACCACUGAUUUCAUUUUUUUUUUUUAUCAGAGCUCUACGAGUUCAGCUCCAGCAGCAGGUGCUGUGGAAUAAAAGUAGAUUUCAAAGAGCGUACUAUGUAAUCUGCUAUUCAUAAAAUCAGAAGUUAAGGGCAUGAACAAUGGUUUCAUCAAAACCACCUUUGUGCAGGAAGUUCUCUGAUCAAUGACCAGAUUCUCUCGCUACAAAUCAGGGGCAUCAACGGCUUCAGGAAGACCAUCUUUGCAAAGGAGAAAAGCAACCCCAUUGAGAAAGAGUUGAUCGGAGCUUUUCGAGUUCUGGUGCUGAGGAAGAGGAGAGAAGAGAGAAAUCAAUGAGAAGAUCAUCUCUCCAUAGAUCAUCAGGAGCGUCAAUGGAAUUAGGGAAGCCAUCUUUGUAGAGGUACUCUUCUGGUAUAUCGUCUCCUUUAGUAGCUAGUUCUUGGACUAUCUUUGAUGCUCUUAAAGGAACAUUUUCAGCCAUUGUUAAAGUACAUGCUAAGCAUGUAGUAAUUAGUUUAUUAGAGUAGCAAGCAAGUAUAGCCAAGGCAAGAGUUGUGAUUGUGACAAGGAUUAUUGGUAGGAUCGGAUCGGAUCAAAUCAGAUUAAAUUGGUUCUAAUCAUUCAAGGGAGACACUAGAAGCCGAGAUUUGUUGAAUUCUCUGGAUUUUUUAUGACUAAAAAAAAAAGCUUAUGGCAACAUAUCAAUACUCUAUGUUUUGAUGGUUUCACGUGUUUUAAUAUUAUUAGAAGUUGGUGGAAAUGAGGGAGAGAAUUGUCCCCUAAAGAUAUAAUAAUGUCCUUUGCACUAAAGUAAAAAGUAUUACUUGUAUAUGAAUAUGAUGCUUUAAGUAAUCAAACACAACUUUACAU